CCUACGGGAGGCAGCAGUGAGGAAUAUUGGUCAAUGGGCGGAAGCCUGAACCAGCCAAGUAGCGUGCGGGAUGAAGGCCCUACGGGUCGUAAACCUCUUUUGCACGGGGAUAACACCCUCCACUUGUGGAUGUCUGCAUGUACCGUGCGAAUAAGGGCCGGCUAAGUCCGUGCCAGCAGCCGCGGUAAUACGGAAGGCCCGAGCGUUAUCCGGAUUUAUUGGGCUUAAAGGGCGCGUAGGCGGGCGUUAAAGUCAGCUGUAAAAUCGCGCGGCUCAACCGCGCCCCGCAGUUGAAACUGGAAGCCUUGAGUUCACAACAGGCAGGCGGAAUUCGUGGUGUAGCGGUGAAAUGCAUAGAUAUCACGAGGAACCCCGAUUGCGAAGGCAGCCUGCCGGGGUGCGACUGACGCUGAGGCUCGAAGGUGCGGGUAUCAAACAGGAUUAGAUACCCCAGUAGUC
rnacentral:rRNA from 1 species